UACGAAGGGGGCUAGCGUUGCUCGGAAUGACUGGGCGUAAAGGGCGCGUAGGCGGCUCAUACAGUCAGAUGUGAAAUUCCUGGGCUUAACCUGGGGGCUGCAUUUGAUACGUGUGGGCUUGAGUGGGGAAGAGGGUCGUGGAAUUCCCAGUGUAGAGGUGAAAUUCGUAGAUAUUGGGAAGAACACCAGUGGCGAAGGCGGCUCACUGGCCCGAUACUGACGCUGAGGCACGAAAGCGUGGGGAGCAAACAGGG
rnacentral:rRNA from 1 species